GACGAACGCUGGCGGCGCGCUUAACACAUGCAAGUCGAACGGAAAGGCCCUGCUUUUGUGGGGUGCUCGAGUGGCGAACGGGUGAGUAACACGUGAGUAACCUGCCCUUGACUUUGGGAUAACUUCAGGAAACUGGGGCUAAUACCGGAUAGGAGCUCCUGCUGCAUGGUGGGGGUUGGAAAGUUUCGGCGGUUGGGGAUGGACUCGCGGCUUAUCAGCUUGUUGGUGGGGUAGUGGCUUACCAAGGCUUUGACGGGUAGCCGGCCUGAGAGGGUGACCGGCCACAUUGGGACUGAGAUACGGCCCAGACUCCUACGGGAGGCAGCAGUGGGGAAUAUUGCACAAUGGGCGGAAGCCUGAUGCAGCAACGCCGCGUGCGGGAUGACGGCCUUCGGGCUGUAAACCGCUUUCGCCUGUGACGAAGCGUGAGUGACGGUAAUGGGUAAAGAAGCACCGGCUAACUACGUG
rnacentral:rRNA from 1 species